rnacentral:rRNA from 1 species
CCAAUAGCGUAUAUUAAAGUUGUUGCAGUUAAAAAGCUCGUAGUUGAAUUUCGGGGUUCAUCCGUUGGUCGGGCUUUUUUGGUCUGUACUGGCGUGAUGGAUUCCUACCUUCUGAAUAACCAGCAUGUCAUUUAUUUGGUGCGCUGGGGAAGCAGAACUGUUACCUUGAAAAAAUUAGAGUGCUUAAAGCAGGCUAUCGCCUGAAUACAUUAGCAUGGAAUAAUGAAAUAGGACGGCAUGGUUCUAUUUUGUUGGUUUCUAGGAUCACCGUAAUGAUUAAUAGGGAUAGUUGGGGGCAUUAGUAUUCAAUUGUCAGAGGUGAAAUUCUUGGAUUUAUUGAAGACUAACUUCUGCGAAAGCAUUUGCCAAGGAUGUUUUCAUUAAUCAAGAACGAAAGUUAGGGGAUCGAAGACGAUCAGAUACCGUCGUAGUCUUAACCAUAAACUAUGCCGACUAGGGAUCGGACGAUGUUAAUUUUUUAAUGACUCGUUCGGCGCCUUACG